GUGCAUUAGGGAUUGCAGUGAAAAUCCUUUUGCCUAAGCAAAAGAUUGCAACGAAAAGCCCGACCGCGC
rnacentral:sRNA from 1 species